UGGAGAAAAGGCUGAUGGAGCUUAAUGAAACGCUACAGAAGGUCAGAGAUGGUUUUAUGGAGAAAUCAGCUGAUCUUGAGGCUCUGCAGAGGACUGCUGAUGAUCAGAAAAAAUCCAUGGAAGAGAUCCUACAGCAAAAUGUGGAAAAAGACAAGGAGAUUGUCUCGCUGAAGGCAGAAGUUGCCAAGCUCUCCCAGAAGUCCCCUGUGCAAGCAAAGACUAAGCGAGGCCUUCUCGCCAACAUCAGGGAGGCUGUCACAUCACCACGGAAGGGAACGUCUGCCCGAACACUGAGGAAAACGGGCAAGACUGUACACCAUUGAAAGCCCAGUUGUUGUACAACAACUGCACUCACCCGGUUAGUGCAUGAAAAUGUCCUCCUUUCAACUGAGGAAAAUUGCAUUUUGUUUUUAAGAACUUCCUUCGGAUUUGAAGAAAAUCCCCUUUAACUGAGAAUGAAAUGUGUAUUUUUGUGUGCGUGUCUUGUGCUAUAGUUUUUUUUUUGUUUUUUUUUUAAAUAAAAUAAAAUUGUACACUUAAUGCUUUACAUAUGAAGAUGCACAGAAAAUCUAAGCAAUCCCCUUCUGUUUUUAGAAGGCUUCGUUUCAAAGCUCCAUUGGUGUAAUGUGAGUUCAUGCUCACCGUAUAUGUGCUGUCUUUUUAUUUGGUCUAUAGACUUUUUCCACAUGAAAAAGCUCCUUCUGCAUCCACUGCUAUAGAAAUAUAACCUGCUUCUUCUAAGCAUGCAUUCAGUACAUGGAGCUGUUCAAAAUAAGGCCAUCCAUUUUCCAGAGCCUUCAGGGGAAAGUAAACCACAAAGAACCUUGAUAGGACAAAGCAAUCAUCUACAACUUUCAAUACUCUUAAGUGCAUCAGUGUGCUUUCUAAUCUGCUUAUUAGUUUAUCUUUACACACAGUCAAUUAAAAUCUUUAAUUCUCACCUAGUGCAAUGUACAACAAAUUUCCAACAUGCUAAUAAAAUAUUUAUGGAGUAUAUUGACCUUUACAGCUGAGUGAAGGAGGUGUAGCCACUGUGGU
ensembl:lncRNA